rnacentral:rRNA from 1 species
AUUGAACGCUGGCGGCAGGCCUAACACAUGCAAGUCGAACGAGUGGCGGACGGGUGAGUAAUGUCGGGGAAACUGCCUGAUGGAGGGGGAUAACUACUUGAAACGGUAGCUAAUACCGCAUACCAUCAGAUGUGCCCAGAUGGGUUUAGCUAGUGGGUGGGGUAACGGAUCACCAAGGCGACGAUCCCUAGCUGGUCUGCGAGGAUGACCAGCCACACUGGAACUGAGACGCGGUCCAGACUCCUACGGGAGGCAGCAGUGGGGAAUAGUGCACAAUGGGCGGAAGCCUGAUGCGGCCAUGCCGCGUGUAUGAAGAAGGCCUUCGGGUUGUAAAGUACUUUCAGCGGGGAAGCGUUACCCGCAGAAGAAGCACCGGCUAACUCCGUGCCAGCAGCCGCGGUAAUAC